rnacentral:sRNA from 1 species
UAGUCAUAAUUCGAUCACUGAUAGAGC